AUGAGUUUGCAAAUCUUGAACACUUCUCAAACUAGACUGACCAUUAUAAUUUGCAGGACAAGGGCUCUGCAUGCGCGUGAGGCUUCGUCCGGAUUGGCCCUGGUCAACUCUGCGAUUGACCCAGAGGUGUCUGAUCCUUGCAUUGCUGUGGGGAACCAGGCCAGACAGUCUCCUCUGCAGCCCACAAAUGAAGCCCGGAGCUCUUUGGGCCGGCCACUUCUGCAACCCACAAGUGAGGCCCAAGGCUCCCUAGCCCCAGCGAUGGAGGACCUCAUUUCCUUUGGGCCUCCUGAGAUCGCUACAUCCCUUGAAGAGAUCCAGCUGCAGUGCUUCGUCAACUCGUUCACCUCGCUCUGCCCCACCCCUGUGCUGCCAACGCCGCCGCCAACACCACUGCCACAGAAACACACCCUCACCGACGACCAGCGCCAGAGUGGGCGCCUUGCCGGCAAGCCCAACUACAGACUCAACUCACUAACAAAGGCACAAUCCGUGCUCCUCAAGAAGAAUGGCCAGCUCCCCAAUGAUGAAUCACCGACAACCGAGGCCGAUCUGCAGAAAUACAAGGACCUGUACAAGCGCCCAGUCAGCUCAGAGUUCAUCGCAGCGGUCACCUCCCUCGUCUCCUCCACCGGCAAGCCCAGUAGUUGCGCCGCUGCAAGCAAGGCACCGCGGGCAUCGGCCCCUGGACCUGCGGUACAGUGA
rnacentral:rRNA from 1 species